rnacentral:rRNA from 1 species
GACGUAGGGGCCAGCGUUGUUCGGAAUUACUGGUGUAAAGGGUCGUAGGCGGUGCGGCAAGUUGGGUAGUGAAAUCUCUGGGCUUAACCCACGAGGCUGCUUCCAAAACUGCUGUGCUUGAGUGUGGGAGAGGCGCGUGGAAUUGCAGGUGUAGCGGUGAAAUGCGUAGAUAUCGAGAGGAACACCUGCGGCGAAGGCGGGUAGCUGGGCCGACACUGACGCUGAGGCGCGAAAGCCAGGGAGGCGAACGGG